ensembl:lncRNA
AACGAAUCCAGUAGCCACGUGCAUUUAGGUUUUGUCUCAGCUUACUUAAAGUGACAGUGGCUACACCACUCGGCCUGUUUUGAUCCUCUGCUCUCCCUUUGUAGACAGAGGAUAAGAACCGCCAGUUGCAGGAGCGCCUGGAGCUGGUGGAGACGCUGCAGCAGACGCUGCGGAGGGCGGAGACGCUGCCCGAGGUGGAGGCCGAGCUGGCGCAGAAGGUGGCCGCGCUCUCCAAGGCGGGAGAGACACGCAACAUCGAGGAGAGGCUGCGCCAGAUGGAGCCCCAACUGGAGGAGAAGAACAAGGAGCUGCAGCGGGUCGUGUGCUGACGGGGAGGCAGCGUCUGGGUGGGAGACGCGGCUUGGGCGAGGGCCAGCGAUGCCUUUCUCCGCUGCUCCCGUCUCUGCCACCGAAUGUGCAAGGCAGAGAGAAAAAAAUGAAUGAAGAACACAAUAAACGCUUAUCAGAUACCGUGGAUAAGCUUCUGUCCGAAUCAGAUGAGAAGCUUCAGCUUCAUCUGAAGGAGAGAAUGGCUGCUCUGGAGAAUAAGGUGAGCCAGCCCCAUGGCCCCUUUAGAAAGAGGCGCAUCUGGCCUGGCUUGGCCUGGCCCG